UACAGAGGAUGCAAGCGUUAUCCGGAAUCACUGGGCGUAAAGCGUCUGUAGGUGGUUUAAAAAGUCUACUGUUAAAGCUUGAAGCUUAACUUCAAAAAUGCCGUAGAAACUUUUAAACUUGAGUAUGGUAGGGGUAGAGGGAAUUUCCAGUGGAGCGGUGAAAUGCGUAGAUCUUGGAAAGACCACCAAUGGCGAAGGCACUCUACUGGGCCAUGACUGACACUAAGAGACGAAAGCUAGGGGAGCAAAUGGG
rnacentral:rRNA from 1 species